rnacentral:rRNA from 1 species
ACUCCUACGGGAGGCAGCAGUGGGAAGUAUUGAGCAAUGGCGGAAGACUCGAUCCAGCCAUGCCGCGUGUGUGAAGAAGGCCUUUUGGUUGUAAAGCACUUUAAGCGAGGAGGAGGCUACCGAGAUUAAUACUCUUGGAUAGUGGACGUUACUCGCAGAAUAAGCACCGGCUAACUCUGUGCCAGCAGCCGCGGUAAUACAGAGGGUGCGAGCGUUAAUCGGAUUUAC